rnacentral:tRNA from 1 species
GGCGCGCGUUUCCAACCGUUCACUGGGCCACAGGACUCAAGAACCGUGGUCGCUGCAAAGAUGCGGGUUCGAAUCCCGCCGCGUCCACCA